UUCUCCUCCCGGGUCCACGCCAUUCUCCUGCCUCAGCCACCCGAGUAGCUGGGACUACAGGCGCCCGCCACCGCGCCCAGCUAAUUUUUUUUUUUUUUUGUAUUUUUAGUAGAGACGGGGUUUCACCGUGGUGUCCAUCUCCUGACCUCGUGAUCCACCCGCCUCGGCCUCCCAAAGUGCUGGGAUUACAGGCGAGAGCCACCGCGCCCGGCCUCAGUUGAUUUUCAGUGAAACUUCAGAGGGCAAAGGGGCAGCUUUCCCUUCACCUCUACACUACUUUCCUCCAUGUGAAGGCACAGCAAGAAGACAGCCAUUGGUGAAACAGGAAGAAGACCUUCAUCAGAACUCAAUCUUUGUGGCACCCUAAUCUUGGACUUCCCAACCUCCAGAGCUAUGAGAAAUAAAUUUAUGUUGUUUAAGCCA